rnacentral:rRNA from 1 species
AACGAACGCUGGCGGCAGGCCUAACACAUGCAAGUCGAACGCAUCGCAAGAUGAGUGGCGCACGGGUGAGUAACACGUGGGAAUGUAUCCUUUGGUUCGGAAUAACGUCUGGAAACGGACGCUAAUACCGGAUGAGCCCUUAGGGGGAAAGAUGUAUCGCCGAAGGAGCAGCCCGCGUCUGAUUAGGUAGUUGGGGGGGUAAAGGCCUACAAAGCCGACGAUCAGUAGCUGGUCUGAGAGGAUGAUUAUCCACACUGGGACUGAGACACGGCCCAGACUCCUACGGGAGGCAGCAGUGGGGAAUAUUGGACAAUGGGCGCAAGCCUGAUCCAGCCAUGCCGCGUGAGUGAUGAAGGCCUUCGGGUUGUAAAGCUCUUUCGCACACGACGAUGAUGACGGUAGUGUGAGAAGAAGCCCCGGCUAACUUCGUGCCAGCCGCCGCCGUAACAC